rnacentral:rRNA from 1 species
CCUACGGGUGGCUGCAGUGGGGGAUAUUGCACAAUGGGGGGAACCCUGAUGCAGCGACGCCGCGUGUGGGAAGACGGUCCUCUGGAUUGUAAACCACUGUCCCCAGGGACGAAAAUGACGGUACCUGGGGAGGAAGCUCCGGCAAACUACGUGCCGGCAGCCGCGGUAAUACGUGGGGAGCGAGCGUUGUCGGAAUUUACUGGGGGUAAGGGGAGCGUAGGCGGGGAUGAAAGGUGGGGGUCAAAACUACGGUCUCAACUGGUAAUCGCACCCGAAACUGCAGCUCUUGAGUGAAGUAGAGGCAGGCGGAAUUCCUGGUGUAGCGGUGAAAUGCGUAGAUAUUAGGAGGAACACCAGUGGCGAAGGCGGCCUGCUGGGCUUUUACUGACGCUGAGGCUCGAAAGUGUGGGGAGCAAACAGGAUUAGAUACCCGGGUAGUC